rnacentral:rRNA from 1 species
AUACGUAGGGGGCGAGCGUUGUCCGGAAUGAUUGGGCGUAAAGGGCGCGUAGGCGGCCCGGUAAGUCUGAAGUGAAAGUCCUGCUUUUAAGGUGGGAAUUGCUUUGGAUACUGUCGGGCUUGAGUGCAGGAGAGGUAAGUGGAAUUCCCAGUGUAGCGGUGAAAUGCGUAGAGAUUGGGAGGAACACCAGUGGCGAAGGCGACUUACUGGACUGUAACUGACGCUGAGGCGCGAAAGUGUGGGGAGCAAACAGGAUUAGAUACCCUGGUAGUCCACGCUGUAAGCGAUGAAUGCUAGGUGUAGGGGGUAUCGACCCCUUCUGUGCCGCAGUAAACACAAUAAGCAUUCCGCCUGGGGAGUACGGCCGCAAGGUUGAAACUCAAAGGAAUUGACGGGG